GACGGAGGGGGCUAGCGUUGUUCGGAAUGACUGGGCGUAAAGGGCGCGUAGGCGGCCGAUCAAGUCAGACGUGAAAGCCUUGGGCUUAACCUGAGAACUGCGUUUGAGACCGGUUGGCUAGAGGACGAGAGAGGAAAGUGGAAUUCCGAGUGUAGAGGUGAAAUUCGUAGAUAUUCGGAGGAACACCAGAGGCGAAGGCGGCUUUCUGGCUCUUACCUGACGCUGAGGCGCGAAAGCGUGGGGAGCAAACAGG
rnacentral:rRNA from 1 species